AAUCAAUCAACUGUUUUAAUUACAACUAUAAGACCAUUAUCUUGCACUCCAUGAAUUUUUAUGAAGGAAAUAAACACAACCCACAUCUGUGAUAAAAAUCGUGCAUGUAAGUAGCAAAAAUGCUGAAUAUUUUUAACGGAUGCGUUCUCACGAGGGUCAUCGACUGAAAAAUCUACCUGGUUUCGGCACAAUGCGCGUAAAUAACUCUCCCACGGCAACGUCCGCGGUAGCUUUACGACCGACCCACGUGCAACAGGUGAAAAAACGCACAAUUUUCGUCAAAGAAUCCCAGUUAUUAUACCUUAUAUGGGCCUUCUGCACUUCAUGUCCAACUAACGGUCGAGAACCGCACCAACACACACCCGAGUCACUCCACGCAUAACCGUUUUCGAACCCUGCACCAGGUGGUGGUUUCGAGAGAAAACCGUUUGAAACCGUUGAAAGUAUGCGAGAAUGUCAAUCGAACUGGACCACUAUGUGGAUGCUGUCUUUCUCGCUCGUGGCACUUGGUUUGCUGGCUUUGAGCACGGGAAAGAAGAAGUGAGAGACCUUGACGCUGCUGCGUUGGAAUGCCACCCCUCCACUUGUGCUGCCUCUGAACCCGAUCCGGUUAAAGACGUGCACAAAGCUGGAGAUGGAGACCCGGAGGAAGAGCUGUUGACCAGAGGCUUCCGGUCGGCGAGGUCGCCUUCUGGCCCCAGUCUUUAUUUUUCCAAAUUGUUCAACGUUUCAAUUAAAGUUUGAAUAAAUAGUGCACGCGCUAUAAAUAAUACUUGAGUUCUUCCACCCUCUUUUUUAUUUUUCAAGUUUCAAUAUUUGCGAAAUGGUUUGAAGUAACACUUUCUUCGUCCAAUUUCUUGGUUUUUUUGGCAUACUUUUGACGAAAUCUCGAGUAAAACAAACAAAAUAUCAAUUAUUGUUUAUUUUUGUCCCCCUUGAAUUCUUCACAUUAGUUCGUCUAUAUUUGCACACCUUGCCUUGUCACUUAUCUUAUCUCAUCAGUCGUUCGUGUUGUUGUAAAAUGUUUUUAUCUUGAGGUCAAAUAAAACUACCAUUUUGUGGAAUCAUUUUAUUAUUUUUUUCCAACAAACUUAAUUAAUCACAACAUCAGAGUUUUCCGCAAUCCAGUCCAAAUAUUUGGUGACUCUAGUGUACACAGAGGGCCAUCCAAUUUCGCAGCCGAAGGAAAUGCCAAAGGAGGUGACACCAAUC